rnacentral:piRNA from 1 species
UGACUGGUGUUCCCUGAUGAAUAGCAAAG